ensembl:lncRNA
AUACAACAAAUAUUUCCAUGGUGAAAAACAUAUAAACAUUUUGACCAGUGUGGAUCAUACAAUGACAAAAAUAUAUAUAUUUUUUUUGGUGGCGUUGACCAAGUCACUGACACAAUAACUAGGUUUUGAAGCAUGAAUUAAAUGUUUUGGGUGAGUUACUACUGACAUGCAAUAGGGUUCUGAUGUUUCAGCAAACAGUUUUGACAAUGGCACUUACAGUUUAGAGAUUGUUUAGACUGUUUCAAAAAAUGAGCCGAAGCAAUUGAGAAAAACUGUAAAAAGUAUGUUGAUAAAUUUAUGUAUGUGCAAAUGCCAAUGUAUUUGAAAAAUUUAAUUCUAAGAGCAUGUAUCAAAUCAUCACAAGUGCUAAGUGAAUGAAUGAAUGAAUGGUUUGGUGAAGCUACAAUGGUGUAUCUUGUUUAAUGGUGUGCAGUAGGACCCAGGGGAUCACUGCCACUCUGGAGGACAGAGGAGUAUGUGUCUGUUUGAAAGAGGAAGAAAAAAAAUCACAGAGACACAAUGUGUGACAGUCACAGCCCUUCACAGCACCGGACACAGUGUGGAAGAGCAUCCUGACGGACACCAGCCCAAGUGGUGUGAACACUGAUCAACACCACUGGAAACAGGAAGAGCAGGUGGGACCUUUGUUAGAUGGAAAGGGCAGCAUAGGGACACUUGUAUGAACUUCGCUCCUUGGAGCCAGGGAUUUCCUGGAUGGUAAUACUUUUGAGGGAUCAUCAUGCACUUUGGUUGUUCUCCACUGAAAUCACCUGAGAUUUAGAGUGUUGAAACACUGGCCUCCUGUGGGAUUGCACUGCACUUGUUUUGAUAUCUGCAGGAGGAAAGUUUCCACACGUGUGAAAAAUGUCCAGAUGUUCAUGUCACAAAUCUGAUUGGAGAAUUAUCAAAAAAAGCAAAGACGUCCCUGAAGUUGACAGAUGGUUUCAACACAAAUGCUUGACACACAGAAGAAAAAGCAACAUUAAGCAUGGAGAAGCUUGGUU